GGACUCGGGAAGGAGCGAAGAUGGCGGAGUGAGGCGUGCAGUUGCGAGCCGGCCGUUGGGCCGGGGGGCGGCAAGGCCCCCGGAGUGUCCAGUGCUUCUUCUAGUCGGUGCGAGGAAGAACAUUUUCUUUGGCUUCCAGGUGCUUUUAUAUUCAUCUUAAGAAGAAAGCAAAAAUCUGAACUCAGGAUUUGGCAAGUAUUCUGUGUUGUCUCCUGGAGUAAGUAGUCCUUUUAUCCAGCCACUUGCCCUAUUCUUGAAAUGUGGAUAUCUCUUCUCUACAUGUUUUACCUCCAUGGUUUGGAUUGGGAAAGGCUGCUUUUCUUUUUGUUCCUUUUCUCAGAUUCAACAUUGAGAGGCUCCUAGGAUACAGUUGUCUUGCCAAGUUCUCCAGAAAGAAAGAAGCAACUGACACACAUGUUCUGCUUUUUGCUUAAUUACAAAGAAAUUAUUUUGGAAGCUGAAACUGAUGCUUAAUUUGAAACAGGUGCUUAGAUGCUGGUGUAUGUUAAUACUUUACUUUUUGUUCCAAACAAGAAGACUAAAUACAGAGCAAGUAUGGAUGGUUUCAGGGGUUUUUUUUGUUGGUUGGGUUGUUUUUUUUUUUUAAUGUCUUCCAUUUUCGGCCACUGUCAUAAGCACAGUCGAAUCCGCAAGGAGUAAAUUUCAAAUAUGUGUUCUAAUAUAAAAUGAAAGAGAUGCUUAAAAACUACAAAUAUUAAAUAUCUAAAUCGUGACUCAUCCUUUGAAGUACAUUUGCUGGAAAAGAACAAAAGCCCAAUUUUGCAAUAAAACCUUUGAUGUGAUAAAGAAGCAUAAAGACAAAAUGAUUCAAGGUUAACAGAGUCUGUCAAAUAUACGUUCACAUGUGCAAAUCUAUAUUUUGGAUGAGAAGAGGGAUUUUUCUCCUAGAGAAGGAAGCUGUUGCUGGUUUCUGUCUCAGAAGUCUUUGGACAUUUCGCAUUUUUAAAUGAUUUUUCACUUUUCUAAGGAAGGACCACAUUGUACAUUUGCUAACCGUAUGAAUGCAUGGUUGAGUUUACUGAAAGUUCGGAAAAGGAAACAAAACAGCUUCAAGUCCAGUGAUGGAACCCUGUUCACCUCCCUCAGAUGAGAGGCUCCUAUAUUGCAAAUUACUCCAUUCUUUUUUGUGGAUUCUUACAUAGCACUUGAGACAUGGAAACAUGCUGCUAAGCAGGAACAAGUGUGGCUUAAGUGGUUUUUCUGUUCAGAAAAUAUGGUGGAUCCUCUGGUAUGACCUGCCUUCAACUUUGGGCAUGGAGGAAUGGGGAACAAAAACAUUUCCAGAGAAUUCCUUUCUCCUGAGAAAAAAGAAGCAAAAAUACCUUAUGCAGCUCCAUCUGACUUUAUGGCAUCUACAUUCUGUAGCUUCUGUUUUCUAAAAACAUAAAUAACUUUGUUCCUUUGACCCAAGAUGGGUACUCAGAUGUUUGGUUUAUUUUUUUAGGUGAGAUGUAAUGUUAGGCUGUAAAGGCUGGGACUCAGGUAACAUUCCCCAGUUGGAACUGAACUUACUCAUCAGAGAAUGGACUUCAGUAGCAAUGUUCCCAAAUUCGUGGUUGAUUUAGAAGAAAUUCAGGGUCUGGAAAACACCUCAAACAAGAAAAAUAGUUCAAUAAAAAUACGGAUCUUCCUCUUCUCUGUAAAGCUUACACCAUGUGAUGAACAGACAGUAAUAUAAAGCUAUUCUUGCUUCCAGAUCAACAGAGGACCAUUGUAUGAAUUGUCAGCUCUUUACAUAAGAAGAAGAAAACUGAGUCUUUGUGAGAAAAAAAUUGAAACUUCUUAGAUGCAAUUAAGAACAAAUUGCCUUAGGUCAUAAUCUGUGAUUUAGGGAAUUUGCCUAGGGUCACUCAUGCUGUGAUACUAAAAACUUAGGGCAAAUUUACCCUAAAAAAUUUAGCAGUGACAGAAAUGGCCAAAAGUGCUAAUUGUUGAGUACUUUUAGUGAUUAGUUAAAUUGGUCAACCUAUAUGAAUUGGCAUAAGAAAGCUUUUUAGUAAAAAUAAUUACAUAAUAUAGAUAUAAUUUCCUUUGAGGGCAAAUACUGAGUGGUACAGCAUAGAAAUAACUUUGGAUAAAGGUAACUUUAAGUAACUUCUCAGUCAACUUCUUGAUAUUUGCUUUUACUAUUUUGGAGUUGUUAAAGACAGAAAGGAACCUCCAUACAUGAGUCCCAUUGGUAUGUUGAGAAUUUAUAUCUUUAGUUUUCUGUUAUCCAUCUUCCCCAUGUCCUUUUUGCAGUGUUUUGGGUAAGAUCAUUUGGCAGAGGAUAGGGACUUUAUACUGUCAGCUCCAGUGAAACCAUCUCUGUUCCAUUUGUUUGAGUAUAUAUCAGACUCAUCUUCUCCAGUUGCUUUGUAUUUUUUAUUUCACAGCUAAAACCACUGUUAAAUGCUCUCAUUCAAGUUGUUCUUUGCAUCUUUAGUGGUUGUCACCAGAAAGCAUCUAACAAAAUGGGUCUAUGCCAGUUGUACUAGCCCAGUGUUUAUUUAAUAUGCCUACAUUUUCCCCUUGGGCUAUUUUGUUCCCUUCUUGAUGGGAAAAGCUGUAAUUUUAGGCAGGACUACACCUCGAUCAGUAGCUGUGCCUACUUACUUCCCUUUCCUCAUCCAUGUCAGCUGGCAGUUUUUCUUUUAAAAAGUUAAAAACGGGAUAUGUGCAAUAGAAAUAUAUAUAUAUGUAUAUUUUAAUACUUGUGGACAAAUGUUACAAGUUGUUUAAGAACAACAAAAUCACCAAUGUCUUCCAUUUUGAGAUGUGUAUAGUUUUGUAAGCAUUAGUGCUUGGUAGCAUAUUGUAGUGCCAUGUUAGGGGUUAGUGCAUGAGCCUAGUAAUAAUUUAAACUCCAGGAUGAAUUAUUGAUAAAAACCAAUAGUGUAAAAUGAGUGGAAAAUCGAGACUUUUCUUUUUUCAUAAAUACCAGAAUCAUGAUAUUCUCCCUGGGGAAAGGAGAUUAAGGCCAAAAAGACUCAGUUAUGAAUAGAACUGUGGGAUUACAGUGUAAAAUACCAUGUCUGAGGAGAGUGAAGCUUUCUCUGAGGUAGCUGGAAACCAGCUGCCUUCGUGUCUUAUGAAACCUCAUAUCAAAAUGAGGCCCCAUUUCAUGAUUCUGCUUUGUUCUCUUUGAGAUGAGAUUGUUCUUAUGCUGUUUUCACAUGGUAUGUCUUGUAAAUUUAUUAUUUAAUCCACUCCUUUUGCAUCAAGAAAUUAUUUUUUAUUUUGCAUGUGUUACUGAGAUGCUGUGUUAGUCACAUACUUUUCUAACCUGCAGACCAUUUAUAUUUCCUGUCUGCAGCAUGCUAAUUGUUCUGGAAGAACGCUGGUCAGUAGUUCAGUGUCCUACAUUAAUUUGUCACGGGCUUUUCCUGUUUCACAACCUGAAUUGUGUGUUGUUGGGAUUCCAGACCUUUUCAUAAGAGUUGGAAUGUAGCUAGAUGGAGCCUGAGCAGGUUGUUAUGUAAUAACUGUCUCUCUUGCUUGGUUAUAGUAAGCCACCUCAGACAGCUUUCACUUUUUCCUGCUUGUAAAAAUAAAAGUUGUUUUGUCCCAAAAGCGUAAGAUAGCUUUCUGUGGAAAAGAAAUACCUACCUCUAAAAGCUGCAUUGAGAACUUGAAAAGAGCAGUUUUCUGAGGUGAUUUUUAAAUCUCAGUAUUAGGAGAGUUCAGGAUUUAUUGACACAGAUUUUACAGUUACCAUGAUGAGAGACAAAACUAACGUGUCUCCAGUACACAAGUAGCUCAAGCAAGUAGACUCUGCAGCAGCAGAUAUCCAGGGACCCCGGUUUAGAUCAGAGUGUAAUUAAAGUAGUUGUACUCUUGGCUCUAGUAGUUCAGCGCCUGGGAGAAUCCAUUUCCAAAAAAGCAUUUAAAUAUUCUGAAAAAUACCUCUGAAAAGAUAAUGAAUGCAAAAUAGCACAGUAUAUAGGAAAGGAUAUUUCUUAUUGCAAAAAAAUAAAAAAUAAAAGCCAUAAAACGAAUAAUGAUUUUCAAGAGGUAGAAUCUUAGUAGCAAUAACAGUUUUGCAUGUAUAGCAAAUUGUAUUAGCAAUGUUGUACAAUAGAAAUAAAUAUUACUACUUGAGUUGGUGAACCUCUGUGACCAGCAGAGUUGCACCAAAGGAAGAUGUUUUAGGCAAAGAACAUAUAAAAGGUACUUUAAAAACUGAAUGUAUAUGAAUAUAUCAUUGUGUGAGAAAUAGCAACUUCUGUUUAAGUUAAAGGUUAGAGACCCUAUUUGUUUCCUAAAGCAGAGGGUUAGAGCCAUUGAAUGAAAUUUUUCUAGUGGUUAAUUAACCUGGAAACAAAUGCACUCCUACUGAUGUAGCCCCACGGACGCCAUCGAGUGGGGAUUUUGCUUAUGAUGUACUUUUCAGCAACAGGCGUUUAUAGAAGAGCCUACUUGGGGCUCUGUCACUGUUUCUUUUCUCCUUUAGUUCUCUGGGUGCAUUUUAAGAAUGGAAAAGUUUGGGGGUGGUGUGUGCGUGUAUGUGUGUGUUUGGGUUAAAAACAAACCAAGAACUUGGAUAGCUGGCUUUUCCUUAUGCCUGUGGUUAGUUUAGGGGAGUUAGAAUUUAAAGAUGUAAAGCAAAGGAUUGAACAGAACAGCCAAAGACAGCAUGUUGGUUUUAUAAACCUUGUCUUAUGUACAUGUGCUGAGGAUUUUGGUCUGUGACUAUUUUAAAGAUUUUAAUUAUUUAUUUGACAGACCGAGAUCACAAG